rnacentral:rRNA from 1 species
AUUGAACGCUGGCGGCAGGCCUAACACAUGCAAGUCGAACGGUAACAGGAAGCAGCUUGCUGCUUCGCUGACGAGUGGCGGACGGGUGAGUAAUGUCUGGGAAACUGCCUGAUGGAGGGGGAUAACUACUGGAAACGGUAGCUAAUACCGCAUAACGUCGCAAGACCAAAGAGGGGGACCUUAGGGCCUCUUGCCAUCGGAUGUGCCCAGAUGGGAUUAGCUAGCAGGUGGGGUAACGGCUCACCUAGGCGACGAUCCCUAGCUGGUCUGAGAGGAUGACCAGCCACACUGGAACUGAGACACGGUCCAGACUCCUACGGGAGGCAGCAGUGGGGAAUAUUGCACAAUGGGCGCAAGCCUGAUGCAGCCAUGCCGCGUGUAUGAAGAAGGCCUUCGGGUUGUAAAGUACUUUCAGCGGGGAGGAAGGGAGUAAAGUUAAUACCUUUGCUCAUUGACGUUACCCGCAGAAGAAGCACCGGCUAACUCCGUG